rnacentral:tRNA from 1 species
UCCCUGGUGGUCCAGUGGUUAGGACUUUGCACUGUCACUGCCGAGGGCUCGGGUUCGAUCCCCGGUCAGGGAA